rnacentral:rRNA from 1 species
GCGACAGGCCUACACAUGCAAGUNCGAGGGGCAGCACAGGGUAGCAAUACUUAGGUGGCGACCGGCGGAUGGGUGAGUAACACGUAUGCAACCUGCCUACUACAGGCGAAUAACCCGGAGAAAUUCGGACUAAUACGCCAUAACACAGGGGUGCCGCAUGGCAAUAUUUGUUAAAGAUUAAUCGGUAGUAGAUGGGCAUGCGUUCCAUUAGUUAGUUGGCAGGGUAACGGCCUACCAAGGCAACGAUGGAUAGGGGCACUGAGAGGUUUGUCCCCCACACUGGGACUGAGACACGGCCCAGACUCCUACGGGAGGCAGCAGUGAGGAAUAUUGGUCAAUGGGCGAGAGCCUGAACCAGCCAAGUCGCGUGAAGGAAGAAUGGUCUAUGGCUUGUAAACUUCUUUUGUCAGGGAGUAAAGUGUGGUACGUGUACCAUAUUGCAAGUACCUGACGAAUAAGCAUCGGCUAACUCCGUGCCAGCAGCCGCGGUAAUACGGAGGAUGCGAGCGUUAUCCGGAUUUAUUGGGUUUAAAGGGUGCGUAGGCGGGAUAUUAAGUCAGCGGUGAAAUCUACAGGCUCAACCUGUAAACUGCCGUUGAAACUGGUAUUCUUGAGAAUGGAUGGAGCAGGCGGAAUUAGUGGUGUAGCGGUGAAAUGCAUAGAUAUCACUAAGAACUCCGAAAGCGCAGGCAGCUUGCUAAGGCAUAUCUGACGCUGAUGCACGAAAGUGUGGGUAUCAAACAGGAUUAGAUACCCUGGUAGUCCACACAGUAAACGAUGAUUACUAGUUGUUUGCGAUAUAUGGUAAGUAACUAAGCGAAAGCGAUAAGUAAUCCACCUGGGGAGUACGCCGGCAACGGUGAAACUCAAAGGAAUUGACGGGGGCCCGCACAAGCGGAGGAACAUGUGGUUUAAUUCGAUGAUACGCGAGGAACCUUACCCGGGCUUGAAAUGCAGAGGAAUAACGAAGAAAUUCGUUAGCCAGUAAUGGUCUCUGUGUAGGUGCUGCAUGGUUGUCGUCAGCUCGUGCCGUGAGGUGUCGGCUUAAGUGCCAUAACGAGCGCAACCCACAUCGGAAGUUACUAACAGGUCAAGCUGAGGACUCUGCCGAGACUGCCGGCGUAAGCUGCGAGGAAGGUGUGGAUGACGUCAAAUCAGCACGGCCCUUACGUCCGGGGCGACACACGUGUUACAAUGGCCGGUACAGCGGGAAGCCACCAAGCGAUUGGGCGCGGAUCCCGAAAACCGGUCCCAGUUCGGAUUGGAGUCUGCAACUCGACUCCAUGAAGCUGGAUUCGCUAGUAAUCGCGCAUCAGCCAUGGCGCGGUGAAUACGUUCCCGGGCCUUGUACACACCGCCCGUCAAGCCAUGGGAGCCGGGGGUACCUGAAACACGUAACCGCCAAGGGGCGUUCUAGGGUAAUACCUGGAAUCGGGG